GCCGCCGUAGCUCAGACGGCAGAGCGCCAGCCGCAGCGGUGGAGAAGCUUCCACCCAAAGCUGGAAUCGUAACAACUAGCUCGCGUAAGACGAGUCAGUUGGUGGUCGCGAGUUCAAGUCUCGCCGGCGGCUCCA
rnacentral:tRNA from 1 species